AAGCGAAGGACCCAGCAGGGAAGCGAGUAUACUCAUGAAAUGAGGCUUCUCUAACAAUUUUAUUUAACCUUCGUAUAUUUAGUCUCCAAGUGAUAAUUGAUGAUCUGUUAUCGGAUUGUCGCGAGUUCUUGGUGUAUAUAU
rnacentral:snoRNA from 14 species